rnacentral:lncRNA from 1 species
UCCCAAACAUCGCCAACAUGUGUAAACAAUAGUGCUAUUUUGACUGUAAAAGCACAGGAUUAAAACCGUUAUGGACUGGCUAUAAAAUUCAUUUCAUUUACAUUACUGAAACUCAACGAUCAAGAAAGAUAAUGUCGAAGUGUAGCUAGCUAUCUGUUAUCACACAAACGCCAAGACUCCUCCGUGCGUUUCCGUGCGUGCGGUACAACUUGAAUAUCUACGACGAUAUAUGCACCAGACACUGGUAUUUGUACUUUAUAUAAAUUAUUUCAUAUUUUGUGUAUACAGUAAUUUGCAACAUGUAUAAUAUUAGACCUUUCAUUGACAUUGGCAUUGUCCAUUGAGGGCUUUAUUGAAGAAUAAUCCAGCUUCCUUAGACUUGUAUAAUGGAUUAAUGCCGCUGUGAGUUAUCAAUAUUUAAAUCAACUUUAAUCUUUUUCGUAUUCCGUAACCGACAUUUUAGAAGUUUAGUCUGUUUUACUAAACAAUACUGGAGGCAAACAACCUAUCUAUCAAUGGAAACUUUAAAAGGUUUGUUACAGUAAAACUCAUUAAUAUAAGAGAGACUUCGUGUGCAUAUACAGUUUAUGAAUUAUGCAUAUCCUGAUAAAACGUAGGACACUUUAUACCAGAUGUAAUAAAAAAUACUUUGCUAAACCUUUUCUGCUGUCAUUCCUUUGCAUUUAAGGGGAGGGUAAAUGGCGAUAGAAUUUAUAGGAGAUGCUGUGCAAUAUUUUGGCUUCAACAAACAGGUACUCGUGCAGAUCGACAAAAAAGGAAAUUCAUGCAGUUGUGAAUUGUCACGUAUGUCAGCUGUGCACUGUCGAUUUCAAACAAUUUUGUACGUUAUAUUUUGUCUUCCUGGUGUUUAAUAUAAACGAUGAUAACCUUUAAAAAAAAUCUAGAGCAAUAUGUCUAUAAACAGUUUUAGAAUCAAUAGAAUGGACAUUCAAUGUGUAUUUGGCUUGUGUCCAAAUGUGUCACGUUUAAGACCGGCAAGGCGCUAAUCCUACGACCUAUAAACAGUCGCUUUUGAGACAUCUGUUUAACAAAAUUUACACCGUGUCCAUAUCAGAACAAUUCAUUGGCAUAUUAUAAGCAUAUUAUAAAUAUCAGAGCCAGAACAGAAACGUACGCGUGAAAUGAAACUACGCCCGAAUCGGGGAACCCCGAGAAAAUAAAAAUAUUUCAAAGCGUACAGUCAUACGUUCUCGUUGCUUGAUUUCCUGAAUUUUCUGUUGCUAUAAGAAUCUGCAUUUUAGCAUGUUUGUAUAAUUUAAAAGCAAACAGAAACCAAAAAGUGCGGAAGUGGAAACAUGUAAUAUGAGACUUUUCCAUCCCCCCUUGGGCUAUCAAUUUUCUAUGGGUCACGUGACCAGCUCCGACCAGGGUCUUUGCUUCCCAAGAGCAAAGAGCCUGGGAACGAGGUUGGUUUGU